rnacentral:rRNA from 1 species
UAGGGAAUCUUCGGCAAUGGACGGAAGUCUGACCGAGCAACGCCGCGUGAGUGAAGAAGGUUUUCGGAUCGUAAAGCUCUGUUGUAAGAGAAGAACGAGUGUGAGAGUGGAAAGUUCACACUGUGACGGUAUCUUACCAGAAAGGGACGGCUAACUACGUGCCAGCAGCCGCGGUAAUACGUAGGUCCCGAGCGUUGUCCGGAUUUAUUGGGCGUAAAGCGAGCGCAGGCGGUUAGAUAAGUCUGAAGUUAAAGGCUGNNGCUUAACCAUAGUAGGCUUUGGAAACUGUUUAACUUGAGUGCAAGAGGGGAGAGUGGAAUUCCAUGUGUAGCGGUGAAAUGCGUAGAUAUAUGGAGGAACACCGGUGGCGAAAGCGGCUCUCUGGCUUGUAACUGACGCUGAGGCUCGAAAGCGUGGGGAGCAAACAGGAUUAGAUACCCUGGUAGUCCACGCUGUAAACGAUGAGUGCUAGGUGUUAGACCCUUUCCGGGGUUUAGUGCCGUAGCUAACGCAUUAAGCACUCCGCCUGGGGAGUACGACCGCAAGGUUG